rnacentral:misc_RNA from 1 species
GUUCUAACUUGCCCACUAACGAGAAAACUAACCUGCGUCUCAUUCCUUUGCAGCAAAAUAAUUUAUAACAAUGGAAGGAUUACUACUUUGGAGCGUCCAAAAUUGCUAAAUGACAAUCUUAAAAGCUAGCCUUGAAUGCCUCAAACUAUCUAAUCUUUCUAAUUACAAGUACAAAAGAAAAGAAAAAUCUCUUACAGCCCAAAGGAAAACUUUCAGGCUCCGAUGAUUCCUGGCAGAGGGGCUUACCAGCAGUUGACUGAAUAACCCCAU